GGAGGAACGUAUAGCGAAAGCUAGUUGCAUUUAAUGCAGAAUUGAUUCUAUCAAAUAAAGUUCUAGACAGGUUAUGAUGAUGACAUUUCCUAUCUAUGUGUCUUGACCAAAUUACGUGCCAGCAGUCGCGGUAACACGUAGAAGACUAGUGUUAUUCAUCUUUAAUAGGUUUAAAGGGUACCUAGACGGUAAAUCCAGUCCAGGAUACUAAUUUGCUAGAGUUUAAUGUGAGGGGGCACUAAAGUACUGAUAAGUGUAGAGAUGAAAUUCUGUGAUACAAUAUAAGGACAGGUAAAGGCGAAAGCAUCUCAUUAUGUAAUAGCUAGGAGAAGCAAAAAGGAUUAGAUACCCAAGUAGUCUUAGCAGAAAAUUAUGAAUGUCAUAGGAUGUUUUUUUCUAUAAAUGAAAGUGUAAGCAUUCCACCUCGAGAGUAAUUUGGCAACAUUGGAACUGAAAUCAUUAGACCGUUUCUGAAACAAGUAGUGAAGUAUGUUGUUUAAUUUGAUGGUCCGCAAAAAACCUUACCAUGAAUAGAUACAAGCGCUGCACGGUUGUCUCCAGUUAAUGUCGUGAGAUCUUGGUUAGUUCCAUUAAAUUAACGUAAACCCUUACUUUAUUUAUAUAUAGAGUAGUUCACCGCUAGAUUGGAUGUGAUAACAGGGACUAAGACAAGUCAUCAUGGCCUUAAUAUUAUAUGCCUUACAAAGGGAUGCAAAAUUGCGAAAUUGAGCUAAUCCCCUAAAAAUGGAUAAA
rnacentral:rRNA from 1 species